rnacentral:rRNA from 1 species
UACGUAGGUGACCAGCGUUGUCCGGAUUUACUGGGCGUAAAGAGCGCGCAGGCGGUCGUUCAAGUCGAGUGUGAAAGCCCCCGGCUCAACUGGGGAGGGUCACUCGAUACUGAUCGACUGGAAGGCAGGAGAGGGAAGCGGAAUUCCCGGUGUAGUGGUGAAAUGCGUAGAGAUUACAUGGAAUACCAAUUGCGAAGGCAGGUUACUACCAAUAUAUUGACGCUGAUGGACGAAAGCGUGGGGAGCGAACAGG